UAACAGUUUACUCCAUUUCUGUGACAUUUAUCUAGAUGAAUUUAAGCGUGCUGUCUAUGUAGCUACUGGCCUCAAACUUUCACCACAUUUAGUGAACACAGUCUUCAAGAUUUUUGAUGUUGACAAAGAUGAUCAAUUAAGUUAUAAAGAAUUUAUUGGAAUUAUGAAAGACAGACUGCAUAGAGGAUUCCGGGGUUAUAAAACAGUUCAGAAGUAUCCCACUUUCAAAUCCUGUCUGAAGAAGGAACUUCAUAGCAGAUAAGUACUUCUGUAACAAAGUUUAAAGGAUUAUUAUCUACAUAACAAAUGGAAGAAGCAAAAUUUCAGAGAGCAGAAGUAGGUCUGAGAUCAGAACAUGGAGAAAUGAAGGAAAAGGUGAAAUGCUAAUUAUAACUUUUUCUUGAACGUAAGACAGAUAAAAUGUACCUUCUUAUUAAAACUACAAAUGUUAUGUGUUAUCAAUUUGAGCUUUUACCUUGAUUUACUGAACUCUGCACUUUUUCAUUCCUUUGAGAAGUAUAUAGAUACUUCCAAUGACUAUGUAAGAAUGUAUUUUAAGUAUUUUUUUAAACUUAAUAGAAAUCCUAAUAGAAAUCUGCUUCAUUUCAAAAUAAUAUGACUCCUGGAAUCUAAAUCACUUAAAAAUGAGCAACAUAUUUUCCUUGGUUUUAGACUGUGAACUUAUUUCUAGAAAAUGAAUAUUCCUUAAGACUUAGCCUAGAGCCCUUAGAAUUAUUAAUAAAUCCCAAUUAUUUAUGUUUUUUAAUUACACUGAAAUAAUUUUGAAAAACAAAUAGAAAUUAAGCUACUAUAUAAUAUGAUGGUUUACAUUGUACUUUAAACUUUUAAAAGUACUUAAUUAACAUAUAUUGUUUGAAUCAUGAAGUUUUUUAAGUUUUUGUUCAUUUACCAAAGUCAACAGAAUGUAUUCUUUUCUGUAUACAGUAAAGAAAUUUAAAAUGUAGGUUCUUUUUCUAAAAAAGAGUCAUAUAUUGAUGGGGGAAGCACUGGUAGUUGUAGCGAUAGUCAUUGUCAUUGUUAUUGUCUUAACAUGAUGCUGCUCCUGAUUGCAGAUGGUGCAUGUUGAUAACACUAGUAAAAAUAAUAUCUGACAACUCUGCACUUAUUGUUUGAUGUUAGUAUAUGUCUAUAGCAUCAAAAUGAGUACUAUAAAAGACGAAUAUAAAAUCGUUUGGAAGACUGAUGUAUAUAUUAGGUAGAAAUUAACAUUUUGUUUCUUACAAAAGGACCACAUGCAGAAGCGACACCCAGCAGCCAGUAGUAACAAAUAGUAUGUUGAGAAAAUUAAAAUAGUAUGUCUUAAAAGAGAAAAGAAAAACUUAUAUUGAAAAACAAAAUGAGAUUUUCACAUGAAGAAAAUGAUUUGAUAGUACUUAUUGGAAAUGUGUUCAAAUAAAAAAUAUAAAGGGAUACAUAUGCAAAAAUAGAGCAUUUAUUUAUACAUUAUAUGUGGAAGAUAAGUUCAUUUAUCUUCUUUUCUAAGAUGUAUUUAUUGUAAAUUGCACACACUUUAGCUAUUACCUUGCUUUUGUGUAUGAAAAUAGGAAAUACUUUGUUUUUUUAAGUUAUUAAAUGUGAAAUUGAAAAUUCUGCAUCAGCAUAUUUAUGGAAGUAAUGUUACUUCCAAGAAAAUAUUAUUAUUGGCAUUGACUAUGUAUUUGUUAGACUUUUUACAUUCUUUAUCUGAUAUAAUUUAUUAUGUUGAUAAAUAUAUGAUUCAUAAGUUUGAGGAUUCCACAUAGUAUAAUAAUUUAAUUUCACCUGCUUUGAAGGUUGACUCAAUUGACUGACUAAAUUAAAAUGCCUCCCACUCAUUUAACAUGCCCCAGGUCUGUUUUACUUUAUACUGAGUGUUCUCAAUAUUCAUUAUUUGCUAUUUAAAAUAAUUGUAAAAAUGCCAUUUGCUUUUAUCUUCACUAUAACUUACAUGAUCUUGCAUACGUGGAAAAAUUCCUAUUUAGAACAGUUCUAUAAAUAUAGAUUCAAAACUGAAUUAGCUUGUUAAAAUUCUUUAUAAAUCUGCCAUUCUCCCAAGGAAUACUACAUAUACAACCUUUAUUCUUUAUUGCUUAUCAGUGUGAGUGGAUAUUCAUUUAUUCAUAAGGCUAUAGCAUAUUAAAUAUUGAAAUGGGAAUAAGUGAAAUAUUCUGUAUGAUCAAUUAAAAUGGAAGAGAUUAGUAAAUUAAACAAUUCUCUAUUAUCACUCCUGAAAUUUAUCAUCUGUCAAAUGGGAGAUAAGUAUAUCUCACUGGAUUGUUGUUAAAAUAUUGUUAGAAUAUUAAAAAGAUUUAUUGCUUUCAGAAUAAUAAUAUUCUAAAUACAUGUAUGCUAUUCUUAGCAUUUCCUUCUGUAAUUUAAUAUCAAGACUCUUUGCAGGAAGUCUACAUGGUAAAAGAUUUAUGGUACUUUUCAGAGUAAUUUCAUAUUAAGAAAUUUAACUUAAGUUACAGUCUGUUGUUCUUAUUGUAAAAUAUAAUUGUAAAGCAAUCUGUUUACAUUCUUAUAUUAUCUUAAAAUAAAUAUGCCUGCUCUUGAAUCAAAACACUUAGUAUAUUGCAUUUAUAUAUAUCUGUGGGCUAAUGUCUUUCUGAAAAAUGUCACAUUCAAACUUCAGAAAUCUUUGUUGGUUAUCAAACACCCACUGACCUCAUACCCUGUGUUAUGGCAGUACAUGCCAAUAAAAAAUCUCCUCAAUACUUUUGUAGGUGAAUAAAUCACAGAGCCAUAAAGCCUCUCAAAGUGUGUAAUAGGAAUUCAUACAAUACAGUAUUUUGGUCAUUGGUACUGGAAAGCUUUUCAGAAAGCUUACAUGUGACUUAACAGAGAACUGAUUGUUUAAAUGGCUUAAAAUAAUUAAACCAAUACUAUAGUAGACCCUGUUUUACUAAUAUUGGUAUUUUGCAGGCUUCGUCUUACGAAGAAAAUGCCUAGAAAUUUACUAGUUUUCAAGACACAUUAUCCUAAUUUUUAUAGCUAUACAAUACAUUAACAUUUUUACAUAGAGUUUUUACUUUUAGAGGAUGUAAAACUAU